rnacentral:rRNA from 1 species
AUUGAACGCUGGCGGCAGGCCUAACACAUGCAAGUCGAGCGGAUGACGGGAGCUUGCUCCUUGAUUCAGCGGCGGACGGGGGAGUAAUGCCUAGGAAUCUGCCUGGUAGUGGGGGACAACGUUUCGAAAGGAACGCUAAUACCGCAUACGUCCUACGGGAGAAAGCAGGGGACCUUCGGGACUUGCGCUAGCAGAUGAGCCUAGGUCGGAUUAGCUAGUAGGUGAGGUAAUGGCUCAGCUAGGCGACGAUACGUAACGGGUCUGAGAGGAUGGUAAGGCAAACUGGAACUGAAACAAGGUACAGACUCCUACGGGAGGCAGCAGUGGGGAAUAUUGGACAAUGGGCGAAAGCCUGAUCCAGCCAUGCCGCGUGUGUGAAGAAGGUCGUCGGAUUGUAAAGCACUUUAAGUUGGGAGGAAGGGCAGUAAGUUAAUACCUUGCUGUUUUGACGUUACCGACAGAAUAAGCACCGGCUAACUCUGUGCCACCAGCCGCGGUAA